UAGUUGGUGGGGUAAAGGCCUACCAAGGCGACGAUCAGUAGCGGGUCUGAGAGGAUGAUCCGCCACACUGGGACUGAGACACGGCCCAGACUCCUACGGGAGGCAGCAGUGGGGAAUUUUGGACAAUGGGGGCAACCCUGAUCCAGCCAUUCCGCGUGAGUGAAGAAGGCCUUCGGGUUGUAAAGCUCUUUCAGCUGGAACGAAACGGUACAUCCUAAUACGGUGUGCUAAUGACGGUACCAGCAGAAGAAGCACCGGCUAACUACGUGCCAGCAGCCGCGGUAAUACGUAGGGUGCGAGCGUUAAUCGGAAUUACUGGGCGUAAAGCGUGCGCAGGCGGAUUGUUAAGCAAGAUGUGAAAUCCCCGGGCUUAACCUGGGAAUGGCAUUUUGAACUGGCAGUCUAGAGUGCGUCAGAGGGGGGUGGAAUUCCACGUGUAGCAGUGAAAUGCGUAGAGAUGUGGAGGAACACCAAUGGCGAAGGCAGCCCCCUGGGAUGACACUGACGCUCAUGUACGAAAGCGUGGGUAGCAAACAGGAUUAGAUACCCUGGUAGUCCACGCCCUAAACGAUGUCAACUGGUUGUUGGGGGAGUGAAAUCCCUUAGUAACGAAGCUAACGCGUGAAGUUGACCGCCUGGGGAGUACGGUCGCAAGAUUAAAACUCAAAGGAAUUGACGGGGACCCGCACAAGCGGUGGAUGAUGUGGAUUAAUUCGAUGCAACGCGAAAAACCUUACCUACCCUUAAUGUCCAGAACCCUGCAGAGAUGCGGGGGUGCCCGAAAGGGAAUUGGAACACAGGUGCUGCAUGGCUGUCGUCAGCUCGUGUCGUGAGAUGUUGGGUUAAGUCCCGCAACGAGCGCAACCCUUAUCAUUAGUUGCUACGCAAGGGCACUCUAAUGAGACUGCCGG
rnacentral:rRNA from 1 species